UACGGGGGGAGCAAGCGUUGUUCGGAUUUACUGGGCGUAAAGGGCGCGUAGGCGGUCGUGACAAGUCACUUGUGAAAUCUCCGGGCUUAACUCGGAACGGUCAAGUGAUACUGUCGGACUAGAGUACAGAAGGGGCAACUGGAAUUCUCGGUGUAGCGGUGAAAUGCGUAGAUAUCGGAAGGAACAUCGGUGGCGAAAGCGGCGCGCUGGGUCCCUUCUGACGCUGAGGCGCGGAAGCCAGGGGAGCGAACGGG
rnacentral:rRNA from 1 species